GACGAACGCUGGCGGCGUGCCUAAUGCAUGCAAGUAGAACGCUGAAGGAGGAGCUUGCUCUUCUGGAUGAGUUGCGAACGGGUGAGUAACGCGUAGGUAACCUGCCUGGUAGCGGGGGAUAACUAUUGGAAACGAUAGCUAAUACCGCAUAAGAGUAGAUGUUGCAUGACAUUUACUUAAAAGUUGCAAUUGCAUCACUACCAGAUGGACCUGCGUUGUAUUAGCUUGUUGGUGGGGUAACGGCUUACCAAGGCGACGAUACAUAGCCGACCUGAGAGGGUGAUCGGCCACACUGGGACUGGGACACGGCCCAGACUCCUACGGGAGGCAGCAGUAGGGAAUCUGCGGCAAUGGAGGGAAGUCUGACCGAGCAACGACGCGUGAGUGAAGAAGGGUUUCGGAUCGUAAAGCUCUGUUGUAAGAGAAGAACGAGUGUGAGAGUGGAAAGUUCACACUGUGACGGUAUCUUACCAGAAAGGGACGGCUAACUACGUG
rnacentral:rRNA from 1 species